rnacentral:lncRNA from 1 species
GCAUUACAAAAUCGGCACAGCAAAUCCAAUUUUCCCAUUCACUCUUGGAAAUAAGUGCAUUGUAGAGCUUCAAUGUUCAAAACUAGAUUCAGAGGUUCUGCAAUAUGUAAAAAAAAAAUCCAAAAGUUUUCUUCAAGCAACUCUGUAAAUUCUAAAUAGGAUAAAGUCAAAUAAUUUUUUUCUCUAAAAUACAAAAGCCUACCAAAUCAAGACCGGAGAUGAAACUUUGUAGUACAGAUAAGCGCAGUCAAUUCAUACGAUGUGAUUACCUUGAUGGAACAAGGCAGAGCGGCGAAGUCGAAAUCUCAAUUUCUCUCACUAAUUCUUUUUGUUAAGUUCCUAAGAGUUCUACAUUAGUCUUUAUAAGAAGGGCUGAUUUGUAUAAAAAAUAAAGUAUUCGAAUCUUCACGGGCAUUCACCUGUAGUAAAGAAGUAGCAAAAUUAGAGUGGGAAAAAGAGGGAUUCAUAAGUAAUGAAGUAGCAUUUAAAGUUUUAAAAAAAGAACAGGAAUCCUAAGUAGUCUUAUAAAGAAACAGUCCACCCCCUUCACAAUAUCCUUUCAUAAGAUGAAUGAAUUCUACCAUAUAUACUCAUCAAGUACAAAGUGUAGUUUAAAGCAAAAACAUGAUAAACUACUUGAACAUCAAGAACAUACAACCAUAGAACUCCCCGUCGAAACAUCUCUGCAUUCCAAAAAGCACAUACACCAAAAAAUAUUUCCAAGUUGUAUUCAGUUUCUUUGCGAGUACAAUACUCCAAAUGCAAAAAAAUUAUAAGACGUCUAAUGUACCGAAUCAUCAUAAGAUGUGACAUGGGACUCCUGGAUCAAUUUUCAUAUCUUAUAAAAUACUACAAAAAUCAACAUAUGAAAGAAGGGAGAAACUUGUUUGGAUUUGGCAGUAUCAGCUUAAAGUAGUAUUUACCUUGUUUCGACUGCGGGAUUGUAUUUAUUAGGUUCAAUUAUGGGGUGUUGGCGGCAGAGCUCAAGUUACUCUGUUUAAGUUUCUUAAAUAUUUGUAGAAAGGUAUUGUUUAACUAAGUAAAUGGAAGUGCAUUGAAGCUGGGAAAAAAAUGUGCGGUCAUAGUUCAUGGAUGGGGGUAAUUUCUGAUUCAUUUUCUUACUGGAAAACUGUUGCAAUAAAUUAAUUGAAAGAAUAUUAUUUUCUCAACAAUGCCCUUAUAGCUCACAGUAGAGUACUGUGCAACCUUUUGCACUUAUUAUUUUCACCACCAAACAUAUGAAAAGAAGCUAGCCAAGACAACUUCUUUCAAUUUCAAUCAAAUAAAAAAUUGUCCAAAUGAAAUGAAAACAUUGCAUGUUUCUUCCUAACAAAUAAGAAGAAUGAGAAAUCCAAAGUGCAAAGUGGAAGCUUAGAAAGAGAGUAGCACAAACUUACAGUAAAUGUAAGAGUCUGUACAUAUUUAUUGCCCGACGAAAAAACAAAUUACCUUUUUCAAUCCUUUUUCAAAUAUAAUGCAUAUUAUAUUAUUCAGUAGUUCUGUCCAGUAGAAGUAAGUAAUCUACUAUUGGGGUUGUUGGAUGAUAGAUCUUUACACCAUAGAACACCUACGGAAAAAGGAACAGAAUUACUCAAUACUAUCGCCAAACAUCUUUGAUGCAUCAAAGUUCUUCCCUUUUUAUUAAGUAUUAUACUAUUUUCUCUUCCUGAGGGUGAAUUCAUUGUACUUCCAUAUAAGAGUUGGAAGAACCAACCACAUGCAUGUACAAAAUCCACUUAGAAAACGCGAUAAGAGUAAAGAGCAUAUAUAAAUCAAAUAAGAAAAACUAUACACAUUAUACUAAAAAUAAAAAAUAAAGCAAAAUGCAAGGAAAAUUUCAGGCAGAAUGAAGAUUAUAAAUCAAUAUUCUUUUAAAAAAAAAAUUGAAUCACAUGUUUACAUGCCCAUCGAGAAAUAACAAAUAAACACUAUGCAAAAUCGAAAAUCUCCACGGAACCAAAAUGUAGUAAUAUUGAAAUGAAUUCAGAAUUCAAAGCCAAAAGUAGGAGUAAUCAAAACAAAUGCAUAAGAUUUAUAAGACAAAGAGAAAAGGAGUCGUUCAAGAUGGAGACUUACUUCCUCUCUUGCUCAACUUACUUCCUCUCUUGCUCAACUUCAUAUGCAUGUGCAGACGGUUCACAAAAGAACCAAAGCCACAAAAAUUUCUAUAAUGCUGGCCAAAUUUGUGGAAAAUUGGAAAAAAUCAAAGGCAGCAGAAAUUUUAGACUGCACAGUAAGCUUCUCCGAGAGAGGAGCAGAAGAAAUUGAAGAGCUAAGAUGAACACCAGAGGAAAAAGGCAAUGAAAUUUGAGACCCACAAACAGAAAAUUACAGAAAUGAUAAUGAGAAAGAGGAGAAAAGAGAGAAGAAUGACAGAGUGAGAAAUAAGAAUGACAAGAAAUAAGAAUGACAGAGUGAGAAAUAAGAAUGAGAGAAACGAAGAGAAAAUGGGUAUCAUCGCAAGUUCCAAUAGCGUUCCAAGCCAGAUGUCUCACUUGUUAACAUGUGUCAGCAUGAAAGAGCCAUGUUACAGUAGUGUUUGGCCCAAGUUAUCGUACAAUUUAGGGUGUUUUUUGUACAACUUUUUGAAGUUGUGUUCGUACACCUUAUUCACUUAUAUAUAGUAGAAAUACUACCUCUCUGAUAUUUGCUGAUAGAUAUGAUCAUCAAGAUCGAAACAUUUUUGUCUCUCUAAAAUCUAAAGGUAUUUCUGUACCAUAAGUCUUGGAUCCUCACCUUAGGCUGUUUCAUUAAAUUAUGAAAGAAGGGCUUUAGCCUUAACAGUAAGGUCUCUUUCUUGAAGUUACAAUCUUUUCAUAGAUAUUUUCCUGUCAAACGACACAAAUAUAGUAAAAACAUUCAUGAAUCUUGAAUAUCUAAGUUAAGCAUGAAACCAUGGAAACACAUUUAACUACUUCCCAAACAAUGAAUAUGCAACUGGUCAGCAUAUAUUAUCAAAGGAUAAGUCGAGUUCAUAGUAAUUCCUAUUACAUCUCCUACAUUUUUUCUUUCCUUAGUAGGACUACAAUUAACUUGUAUUUCGAUACUAUGGACAGACGUAAGGAACUCAAGAAUUUAGGGAGGACAACACAAAUUAUAGCAUAAAUAACAACAACAAUGAUCUUGAAGAAAUAGAAACAAACGUAAUAUUAUAUUACGUAGAAAGCAGGGGAAAAGAAAGAAGCAUGUGAUGAAAACAUAUUUUGUCAAAAAAUAAUAUUAAAAAGGAAACAUAAAAAACUUCGUAAAAUGAAACUCACCAUGCCUCUGUAGAACACAGUUAAACCUUGUGUAGGUAGUGAAAGAAUUAAAUAAUAUCAAUUAUUGAAGGGAAGAGUAAGCUGGCCUGAAAACAAAUAGCAGCUCUCAGUUAUCCAGGUCUAGAAAACAAUACAUAGUUCUAAUAUUUUACCAAUAUUAACCAAUUCACAAAAUAAAACCAUCUUCAACUCCAAAUAUUUUACCAAUAUUAACCAAUUCACAAAAUAAAACCAUCUUCAACUCCACUAAUUCACAAGUGUCAGAAAUAUCUCAUCUGCAUAAAGAUUCAAAUUCUCUAAAUUCUAAAUAACAGUGACAGAUGGUUUUAACAAAUUUUGGAACUUAGUUGGCAUUAGACCGAGCGAUUUUAUUACGUUUCCAUAUCAAAAAUAGCUAAACGCCCAAGAUUGUCAAGAAAAUAGUUUUCUAAAAAUCAAUAUAAAAAUUUUCAGAAGUACUUAUAACUUUGAAAGCAACAAAAUUAAAACGCAUAUGCCUUGAGCAUAAUGCAAGAGGAGAUCAACCAGUUCCAAGUAGCCAGCAGAUUAGUUUAAAUAUUUUUGAAAAUUAUUGUAUUUAAAGGAAACCUACGAAUGAAGGUCUAUUUCCCGUUCAGUUUGAAAACUAAGGUAGCUAAAUAUCUUCUUGAAAGCAACUCAAGGAAUUAAGUAUUGUCAUUUCAAGAUCUUUCUAAUCCUCUCAAAGGAGAUAUCGGGCGCAAUGCUCAGGAUGUAUUCCUAAGUCUCAAUCUCCUUAAUAAGCUUUCAUCUCACUACUCAAUUACCAGGAUAGCAAAGAUUCUGAAACAGUUUCAGAUGCAAUGCUUUUGAUUAUAGUAUCUUCAAAUUAUAUUUCUCCAUAAAUCUUUAAGACUUAAGAUAUCUUCAGAUUUUGAACAUCAAAAGAUUCAAAUUGAUUAGUCCCAUGUAUGCUUAUGAGUCAUGAUAACUACAAAAUGCUUAUGAGUCAUGAUAACUACAAAAUGCCUAGUUAAUUGUAGGCAAACGGACAACAAUAUCUCGCACAAUUUUUUUUUCAACUGAGCAGAUGCCUAUAGCAAAAUUUCAGCAGUAAGUAAUAGCACGAUAAAGCGAGAAAUUAAAUCAGUUUGGUUUCUAUAUUUAAGUACCCUCGACCUUGACAGGGUCACAAGUCACAACACUAAAAAAAGAUUCUACCAAGGUUAUGUACUAAGAAGAAUAGAUAUCAUAAGAAACUUUUAACUGAAAAAAUUGCUGCAGAUCGCUUCCACCAAUAAGUGCUUAUGUUUCCCUGCAAGAAAGAUUUAGUUGCAUAUAACUUCCUAAUUGUUAGCAGCAUCAACAGUAAAACAAAGGUUAUGACAGAGAUGGACCAUUAAGCUAUAAGGAUAUAGAAAGAUAAAGGAGAACCUGCGCCUCUUAUGAGUAAAAUGUACCUUUUCAAGGAAACAUAAAUAUUCCUUGAGUACGGUAAAAGUUUUCUCAGUCCCUCCAAAGGCUCGUUGGCUUUAUCCUAUCCAUAUAGAAAAUGACAUAAUGUCACUACCUUACGAAGUUUCAUAAUAAUCCCUACGAAAAGAAGACAUUGAGAGUAAACACAAGCAAACAAAAAGACUCAGUUUAUAGCAGCCAACGACAACUCAAUUCACAACUGGAAAGCACUUUCUGGAUUGUUGGCUCAAUUUACAGUGGAGAAACAGCCUUCAAAUUGCUGAAUGAUAAAUGAGUUUUUAGUAGAACACCCGAUACGAGAGAAAAGGAAAAACAAUUCAGUUAUUUGAGGCAUAUUAUCAAACACCUCGGUGCAUCAGUGUAUUAAUUGGAUAAACUUACUGGCAUGCAAAUAAAAUAUCCAACAAAAUCUAUAGAUUCAAAGAAAAUUUAGGCGGAGAUUACAUAUAAUCAAAUCUUUUAAAAUCGAGUGAUUUUCUCAAAUUCUUCUUUCAAAUCUCAACCAGUGUUUAAAAGGCGUUUUAGGGACGAGCCCUGGGGCGAGGCGCACGCCCAGCAAUUCGGGGCAUAAGUGUGGGGCGAAAGUGUCAAGAGGCAAUGAUGUGGGACGAAAGUCUCAAGAGACAUACUCCCAGCAAUUCGGGGCGUACGCCCGGGCGUUUGAGGCGCAUUUUUUUAGUGAGGCGUAAGCCCCAGAGACUUGUUCAAAUUAAAACAAAAAUUAUUGAAGUCCUUCAUAUAAUACUAAUAAAGUUAACUUGGUAAUUACUCAAAAGUUUUAAAAAGCAACUGAAUUAUAUUAAAUUUAAAAGUUAAGAUCUUUUUUAUUGAUUGAAGCCCUAAUUUAUGGUUUUUCCCAAUUCUUUAUCUUAUCCGCUAGUCUACUAAUAUCUCCCAAAGGCAAUGAAUAUUCAAUUUUUUUACAACUACAAAGAGAACUUCAUUCUCCUUCAUAGCAGCAAGUUCAAAGUUUAGGUAAGUCAUCCUUUUUGUUCCUCCAUGUAGAAAACUUUAUUCUUUUCGACUCAAGUUACUUGUGCUUCUAAGUAGCGUAUAAUAGAUUGUUUUGACUAAUUUUUUGUAGGGAUUGAACACUAUAUAUUUAUAUUUUUUUUAUUUUUAUGCAAUUUUACCUGUUUAUAAAUAUUUAUUGUAAUUAUAUUAUUUUAUAAAAUAUUAAAAAUCAAAUACCUAUGUGCUUACGCCCGUGUUUCGGGGCUUAUGAGAGCGAGGCAUAUGUAAAAGUGAUCUCAACAAACCAAAAGUACUUUCUCUUUUCUGCCUCUUAGUAGUCAGGAAAUAAAAAAUCACAAGGAAAUCCAAAAGGAAAAGCAGUUAACAAUCAAUAAAUAACAAAAUUAAAAAGAAGAAAUUACAGAAAUUAAAAGCAGAAAAAGCAUAUAGAUUAAAGACAAAGUGAGAAAACAUGGCAGUACAUAAAGGAACAAUUAACUCACCAGAAGAAAGAAGCCGGAGCGGAAGAAAGGAGAGAGAUAAUAAGAAAUGAACGGCAUCAAAGACCGGGAGUAUACAAUUAUCAGGUAUCUAUUUUCAUAGAUGCAUAUGCAAAUCAGAUAGAAUUAUUGACAUGAAAAGCAAAAAUAGACAAACCUUCAAAGAGAAUCCAGAAGCGAUGGGCAAAAAUCAGUGCAAUAAAGAAAAGAGUAGGCGAAAACUUAUCAGAACUAACAAAUGAAACAAGGCUCUAGGCUAGAACUUUAGAAACCAAAAAGGGAGAAAUGUGGGGAAUUGAUACCCAAAACCGAAUGACAAAUGGAGUGGGAGAAUGAGAAAAAUUGUCGAACUCGCUGGAAUAUAUGAAUUUUGAGAAAUUUUACUU